GUUUUAAUAGUUUAAAUAAAACAUGGGUCUGGUAAGCCAAAAAUAUUAGAAAUAACUUUUUAAAACU
rnacentral:tRNA from 1 species